rnacentral:rRNA from 1 species
CGAGCCCGGAGAUAGCUGGUUCUCCCCGAAAUAGCUUUAGGGCUAGCCUCAAGGUGAGAGAUACGGAGGUAGAGCACUGAAUGUCCUAGGGGGGAUUGCACCUACCGAAGACUAUCAAACUCCGAAUGCCGUCAUCUUAUACUUGGGAGUCAGACUGUGGGUGAUAAGAUUCAUAGUCGAAAGGGCAACAGCCCAGAUCGUCAGCUAAGGUCCCUAAAUGUAAGUUAAGUGGUAAAGGAUGUGGGAUUGCACAGACAACCAGGAUGUUGG